GUUGUUUAUUAUAGUUAUGAUCAUUUCCAUGAUGACUCAAUUUGCACCACUAGACAUUAUUUAUAUGACUUUUUAGUUUUUAAUGUUUCGUUAUAAGCAUGGUGUUUUCUCGAAUUGGCAAUGAAAUCCUCAACACUAGUAUAAACUUUGCUUAGAUGAUGUAAUAUUAAACUGAGAUUAUCUGGGGAAUUAACAUUUCGGCAUCGCCAGGGACAGAAGACUGACACGUGGCAACAUGUGACUAGUCUGGAUCACUUUUGCGGAGUUAUAAUAAAUAAAAAAAAGAUUAUAUUUUGCAAUUAAUCAGGAAUGUCAACUCAGUCAGCUGUGACAACCACUAACAGCUUGAAAAUGACAAAAUAUAUUUAAAAGUUCACACUCAUUAGCUCCUCUAUUACUAAACUUAACAAUAUAAAUCUCUAGUUUAGUCAGGACUAUGAAGAAUUCUGAUAGUCUGGGAUUCUCAUGGUGAAUUUACAAGAUAGUUAGACUAGGUUAAGUCUAGUUUAUCUGCAUACAACACCACAUUUGGAUGAUUUGAUGAUACAAGCCUUCAGAGAUUUGGAUCAUUUUGGUGUUGCAAGAUGAAGUCUAUACAAGACCUUUACUUUUGUGAUGGCAAUUGGAGAUUAUGUAAAGUUGUUACCAUAGCUAAACGUGGAUAGAUGACUCAAUAGGUCUUGUCAUCCCAAUGAUCGACCUUAUGACCUCGUUAUGAGCUUGGUUAUGCUGGCUCCCUGAGACCGAGAGAUCUUGGAUCACGUCUUGUUCAUCAUCUGAAGAGACACCUAGCUAGAUGUAGCUAGAUGUUAUCAAGAGUUUUUUUUUUUUUGUUUUUGUUUUUGGCAAUCAAAUUUCAUCACUUACUCAGAUGUUAUCAAGUCUUCCAUUAAUAGUUCCAUUGAUGCUGUUAAUGGUCGCUAAAUGAAAACAGGCAACAUCACAUAAUAGUUCUACAUCAAAUCCUUAGCCGUAGUUAGAAGGCUUGAAACAUUUAGAAGCUUGUAGUCUUGUUGGCUUAGAAACAGAGGAGUGAAAUCUUAAAGUCUAGUAAAAUCGAUAACCAAUGCUGGGCCCAUUCUGUAAUUUAUAGUUAUGCGCCUUCUCGUUACAUUUUGGCAAGUGGUGUUAACUUAUGCAUACAUGUUGAUUGUUUACUAAUGAGCAAACGAUCAAUCACAUGUUGCAAGAACAUGGCAUGUGGCAUUGGCUCGUGAAUUACAUGUUGCAAUUCGAAUGACUCCUGAUAUUUCUUUCAUGUUUUAUUAUUUUAUGUUUAGAAUUUAUGAAUACUAAUUCAAUUAAACUUUAUUUUUGUUUGUUUGUUCCAGACAAGUAUUCAGAUUCUCCCUUGGGAUAUGAUGAUAGAGAUUUUUGAUAGAAUUUCUCGUCAUGGGACCAAGCAUUGUUCUUGUUGUAGAACGUGGCGUAAUUACUUUCGGGUUUGUCAGAGGUCAUUGAGGCUUGAUAACCCCGAAGAGAGUUCUUUCCUUUGAGGAAAAAGAUGUUUUGCAACUGUGUCACUGACAUUGGAUUUCUCACUUUCACGCCACCAGAAAUUCGCCGUCUUUACAACUACUGGUAAACCUCCGUCUACAUGACCGCCGGCGUAAUUAGUUGCGUUUACUCUCUUUUCUUUCUUCACUGUAGAUACGGUUAAAUGAUUUCUUUGGAGUGAAGUAACAUAAUUGUGGAUGAUUUGUUCGCUAGGGUUUCGUUUUGUUUUGUUACUCCAUGUCGAACAAAAGAGAAAUCCGCUUGAGAUCCAAUGCUAUGCUUCUAGAAUUCAAGUGGGAAAUGAUCCCAAGUGGGAAAUCUUUGGUAGCUUCUUGAGUGUUCAUGAACAAUAAAUUGUAGAAGAUAGACACGAGCUCACUUCUCAAUCAUGAGUUGGUGAGCCCAAUUCUCAAUUUGACGUUGUCUUGUUUACUUGAACUAAAGAAACGUUCUCUUGCCGUCUUCAUGAUCGCCACUGUGAAUUCACGAAAUCAUUGAUUGCCACCGUAAAACCGUAAGUUCAAUGGUUGAACCAUUGUGUGGACCCAUUCCAGUUAUAAAACAUGUCUUAUCCUGAAGAAUUUACCUAAGAAAAUAGCUCAUUAAUUGUGCAUUAUUCUUUUUGAUCAAACAAGAAAAUGGCUUAGAAAUAUAAUAUAACUCCUGAUCUCUCCAAUUCCAAAAAGUUCUUCGCUCUUUCAAUGAGAAUUGUAAUUAACUUGAAGUCAUACUUACUUUUGAUAUUAUCUUGAAGAUUUCAUGUAAUAAGAUAAAAAAAUUAAUAAAAGAUUUGAGAAAGCUUUUGUAGUCGUCUUCAGAUAUUACUAACAGAGUAAUUGGCCCAUUGACUAACAAAGAUAAUAUUAACAGUACCAAAAGUAACAAACAUAGUACCAAAAGGAGAGAAAGCUUUUGUAGUCGUUUUCUUCAAUAAAAGUAAAGAAAGACGAUAUUUCUCUCCACCAGCGCUUACCAGGAAAUUGACGGCCGGCAUAGGUAGUCCAUGUGGAAUGAAAGCAACGCAUUUCAAUUUCAGUUUUUCUUUGAAUCUCUCUUUCGAUUUGAGAGACGACUUCGUUUACUUACUCCAGAAACGAUGCAUGAAUGUUAGAUGUUGUGAGUGCUUGCAAGUGAUUCCAUCACCUAGAGAUUUCUUUCUUGGAGGUGAGUGCAGCUGGGAUCGAAGCGCUGAGCAUGCUCAUGAUGGUCACUGCAUACGACUGUCCGCAUUCGUUGUACCAGAUCUAGCCUUUCAUUUUCUUCUUUUUCUGGUUCAGGCGGAUUAUAUAGAACACUAGAGUUUUGAAUUUCAUUACUUUACACGUAAUCAUAUAAAAUUGAAUAUAGUAAGAAAUGGGUAAAUGAAAAAAAAUGUUUAGAAAAUGAUCAUCGUUCUAUGUACACAUUUUAUGUUAUCUGAUAUACUUUGGAAAAGAACUAUUUGAAUGGUCAUAUCGACAAAAUUGAAAUUUAAGAAUAAUAUUUUGGAUGCGCCUACUAAAUGUUUAUGAAAGAUAAAGGAGAUCAUAUCGGUAGAAUUGAAAGAAGCAUAUAGAAUUGAAGAAUACUAUUUACACAUGCGAUUGGUGUUGGCUGGGAGAUGGCUGUCUAUGGAGUUCUUCACUAUAUCUCUGGGCUUCUUCGUUGGUACACGUUUGCUACUUUUACUCCCUUCUAAUUACCAUCUCCACCAAUAGCCCGUAGACUGAUCUCAUCGCUGUCCCUUGUAUAUGAGGAGUUGCUACUGCCUUUGUGUCUUCUUGUCUACAUUUUACAAGCUAGCGGCUAUUAUGGCUUAACCCGACCUUUACUCCUUUUCAAAAUUAUUAGCACUUGAAUGCAAAAAGAAACCUUUCUCGGGCCUCUUGGGCCAUACAACAGACAGAGAAGAUCCAAAACCGUUUUGACCAUGGACAAUAUACCUUUGUUAUCUGGGCGAGUUUCUUGCUUGGACAAUUCUAUGUAUAUGCAGUUACUACGGGCUUGUCUGAAUAGCUGGAAGAAGGAAACUGAUUAAGCUGCAGUAGACAGAGAACCAACAUGAAGAUGCCAUAACCUUAUAGACUCUCGUGUGGCUCCUGAGAGUAGAUUCUAAAUCGGGAGCAGUUUGAGUUUUGAGACCUUGUAAAAGUAAAACUCAUAUUCGGAGUAUUGUAGUAGCAUAGAGUACACGACUCUAAUUAUCUGUUAUCAGGUUUGACGUACAGUGACAACCGGCAACAAAUGUAUGUGAUUGCAAUAUAGAGAAUGCAAGUCAAAAUGGCUUAAAUUUGUUUUGUUUGUUUGUUUGCUGCCUCCAUCGAUUUUCCAUAUAAAUCCAGUUAUAUUUUCAAGGGUUACUUAAAUAAGUUAUAGAUUCAUGCCGAAUUAUUUAGGCGGUGAUUAAUUAAUUAUGUCCGAGUCACGUGCACCUUACUACCCCCACGCUAUCCUCCAUGUCAGCAAACCUUUGCUCUGAAACAAACACCAGCGGUGAUUAAUUGGUUCUGUCCUAGUCCCACCUUACACCAUGAUUAACCCGAAGUUUGUAGGAUGAGACUUUUAGCGGAAAUUAAAAAACUGUUUUUUAACUUUUAAUUAAAAAAGCUAAAAACCAGUUCUUAAAUCCGGAUUAAUCAUGUUCUUAGGCCAUGACUAUCGAAAGGUAAUAAAAGAGUUUCUUGCACUGUUCUAAUGACCUGGAUCCCAUAAAAUGGCAAUAAUCGGUUUCAAAAGUUGUGAAAUAUAGGACUCAGUUCGUCCGUUUCUUACACAGUUUGCAGGCUAUACUGACACGUGACGAUCUGUGAUUAGUUUUUUUUUUUUAAUCAGAUAAAAAAAAAUUAAAAAAUCCUUAGUAGGUAUCAGGGGUAAUGAUGCUCUUGCUACCCCACGCUAUCCACCACGUCAGCAAACAUUUCCUCUGAAUCAAAUACCGGUUGCAGCGGAUAAAAGGCACACAAAGCAAAGAAAGAGGAACUGAUUCAGCCGGUUCUCAUUGAACCGUCUCCUGGAAUCUUUGGUUCAGCCAGUAUAUAUGUAUAUAUUUCUUUUUAAUAUAUUUCAAAUAAUUCGAACCUAACUCUAUUCUCUAUUCUUUUCCUUUUGAGUUUAAUUUUUUGUUUCUUUCUUUUCUUUAGCAAGUUCCGAUAAUGUUAAUUCGCCAGAGAACUAAGCUUAUUCAUUUAAACAUGUAAUUUUCAUCUAAAACGCAUGUUUGUUUCAGUUUGAUUCUUAAACAAUUAAUUGGGUUUAGUGUCUAGAUUUUAAAAUUUAAAUUUUAAGAUUUAAGGCUUAGAGUUUAAGAUUUUGGAUCUGGUGUUUUCUAUGAAUAGUGGUAUAUUAUCAGUUCACUUCUUCCUUCCUCAAUUAUAGCCGGAAACAAAAUUGCUCUGAAGAAGACAUGAUUUACCUCGAUCCAGGGAAGUCCAAUGGGCUCGGGUCAAUCAACCGCGAUGGAAGACCAAAAUCUCACGUCUACAAAAUGAGCCAAACCAGCUGGUUUCAUACCUAUAAUGAAAACUUAAACCGAAUUGGUUUCAAAUGAUUCGACUAAAAUCUAUUUUUCUCUUUUUAAAAGUUUUAAGUAUUGUUUUUCUCUGGCAAGUUCUGAUACUGUUACUUCGCCACAGAAAAGAACUGAGCUAAUAUAUUUAUUAAAAUUUGUUGUUUU